AGUGAACGCUGGCGGUAGGCCUAACACAUGCAAGUCGAACGGCAGCACAGUAAGAGCUUGCUCUUACGGGUGGCGAGUGGCGGACGGGUGAGGAAUACAUCGGAAUCUACUUUUUCGGGGGGGAUAACGUAGGGAAACUUACGCUAAUACCGCAUACGACCUACGGGUGAAAGCAGGGGAUCUUCGGACCUUGCGCGAUUGAAUGAGCCGAUGUCGGAUUAGCGAGUUGGCGGGGUAAAGGCCCACCAAGGCGGCGAUCCGUAGCUGGUCUGAGAGCAUGAUGAGCGACACUGGAACUGAGCCACGGUCUUGAGUCCUACGGGCGGCCGAAGUGGGGACUAUUGGCAAAUGGGCGCAAGCCUGAUCCAGCCAUACCGCGUGGGUGCAGCAGGGCUUCGGGUUGUAAAGCCGUUUUGUGGGGAAAGACACGCAGCAGGUUAAUCCACCGCUGUUCUGACGGUACCCAAAGAAUAAGCACCGGCUAACUUCGUG
rnacentral:rRNA from 1 species